UGGCCUCGGCCCGAGUUGUAAUUUGCAGAGGAUGCUUCUGGCGCGGUGCCUUCCGAGUUCCCUGGAACGGGACGCCACAGAGGGUGAGAGCCCCGUAUGGUCGGACACCAAGCCUGUGUGAAGCUCCUUCGACGAGUCGAGUAGUUUGGGAAUGCUGCUCUAAAUGGGAGGUAAAUCUCUUCUAAAGCUAAAUACCGGCCAGAGACCGAUAGCGCACAAGUAGAGUGAUCGAAAGAUGAAAAGCACCUUGAAAAGGGGGUUAAAUAGUACGUGAAAUUGUUGAAAGGGAAGCACUUAUGACCAGACUUGGGCCGGGCGGCUCAUCAGGGGUUCUCCCCUGUGCACUCCGCCCGGCACAGGCCAGCAUCGGUUCUCGUGGGGGGAUAAGACCGUCAGGAACGUAGCACCCUCCGGGGUGUGUUAUAGCCUGGCGGACGAUACCCCCGUGGGGACCGAGGUCCGCGCUCCGCAAGGAUGCUGGCGUAAUGGUCAUCAGUGACCCGUCUUGAAACACGGACCAAGGAGUCGUCCAUUAGAGCGAGCGUUUGGGUGUAAAACCCGCACGCGUAAUGAAAGUGAACGCAGGUGAGAGCUUCGGCGCAUCAUCGACCGAUCCUGAUGUUCUCGGAAGGAUUUGAGUAAGAGUUUUAACGGACGGACCCGAAAGACAGUGAACUAUGCUUGUAUAGGGUGAAGCCAGAGGAAACUCUGGUGGAGGCUCGCAGCGGUUCUGACGUGCAAAUCGAUCGUCAAAUAUGAGCAUGGGGGCGAAAGACUAAUCGAACUGUCUAGUAGCUGGUUACCGCCGAAGUUUCCCUCAGGAUAGCAGUGUUGAUCUUCAGUUUUAUGAGGUAAAGCGAAUGAUUAGGGACUCGGGGGCUAUAUAUUGCCUUCAUCCAUUCUCAAACUUUAAAUAUGUAAGAAGCCCUUGUUACUUAGUUGAACGUGGGCAUUCGAAUGUACCAACACUAGUGGGCCAUUUUUGGUAAGCAGAACUGGCGAUGCGGGAUGAACCGAACGCGGGGUUAAGGCGCCAGAGUGUACGCUCAUCAGACACCACAAAAGGCGUUAGUACAUCUUGACAGCAGGACGGUGGCCAUGGAAGUCGGAAUCCGCUAAGGACUGUGUAACAACUCACCUGCCGAAUGUACUAGCCCUGAAAAUGGAUGGCGCUCAAGCGUACCGCCCAUACCCCGCCCCCAGGGUAGAAACGAUGCCCUGGGGGAGUAGGCGGCCGUGGGGG
rnacentral:rRNA from 1 species